AUGGCGAGAAUGAAGAUCCCAAAGCGUUAUGUCAUAGUAUUGCUGACAUUCAUCUGCACAAAUGUUUGUUACGUUGAGCGUGUGGGUUUCUCGAUUGCGUACACCGUAGCAGCUGAUGCAAUCAACGUGAAUCAAGCAAACAAGGGCCUGAUACUCUCCAUGUUCUAUUAUGGUUAUGUUUUGUCGCAAAUUCCUGGUGGAUGGGCAGCUCAGAGAUUGGGAGGCAGACGUGUUCUGCUACUGUCAUUCCUGUUGUGGUCUUUGAUAUGCGGUCUAAUUCCACUGGACCCCAACAGAGCAGUCAUUCUGGUCCUUUCUCGCCUUUUUGUCGGUGUAGCACAAGGUUUCAUAUUUCCUGCCAUUCACACAGUCCUGGCACAAUGGGUGCCACCGCAGGAGCGCUCUCGCUCAGUGUCAUUAACAACCUCAGGGAUGUACCUCGGGGCAGCUUGUGGCAUGUUGUUUUUUCCAAGUCUGGUGAAGCACAUGGGACCCCAAUCUGUAUGUUUAGUCGAAGCAGUACUUGGAGUAGCAUGGUCUGUAAUAUGGUUGAAGUUCUCCAGUGAGCCACCUCGCACUGACCUUCCAAAAGUGGCAAUGCCAAAAGUAGCAUCUCGGGAGAAGAUUAAGGCGCAAUCAGUAGGGGUUGUUGCACCUCGCACUGUAAAGAUACCAUGGCGAAAGAUUAUCUUCAGUCUACCUGUUUGGGCAAUUGUCGUGAACAACUUCACCUUCCACUAUGCCUUGUAUGUUAUCAUGAACUGGCUGCCUACCUAUUUCGAACUAGCCCUUAAGCUUAGCCUCCAGGAUAUGGGAUCGUCAAAGAUGCUUCCCUAUUUCAACAUGUUUAUAUUCUCCAACAUUGGUGGAGUGGUUGCUGAUCACUUGAUUACAAAAAGGAUCUUAUCAGUUACCAAGACAAGGAAGCUCCUUAACACCAUUGGGUUUGUUGUCUCGGCUGUUGCACUCAUGGCCCUCCCUUCAUUCGGGACGCCCUCAGGGACUGUGAUCUGUUCAUCGGUGUCUCUUGGCUUUCUGGCUCUAGGAAGAGCAGGGUUUGCCGUGAAUCACAUGGAUGUUGCUCCAAAGUUCGCCGGCAUAGUGAUGGGGGUUUCCAAUACAGCUGGGACAUUGGCUGGGAUAGUUGGCGUUGGCCUCACGGGAAAUAUUCUGGAGGCUGCAAAGGCUUCUAACAUGGAUCUAACGAACUCCGAAACCUGGAAAACAGUCUUCUUUGUUCCAGCAUACCUCUGUAUUUUUAGUUCAGUCAUUUUCUUGGUCUUCUCAACUGGUGAGAAGAUUUUUGAAUAG
rnacentral:rRNA from 1 species